rnacentral:rRNA from 1 species
GACGUAGGGUGCGAGCGUUUGUCCGGAUUUAUUGGGCGUAAAGAGCUCGUAGGCGGCUUGUCGCGUCGAAUGUGAAAACUCGGGGCUCAACUCCGAGCUUGCAUUCGAUACGGGCAGGCUAGAGUUCGGUAGGGGGAGACUGGAAUUCCUGGUGUAGCGGUGGAAUGCGCAGAUAUCAGGAGGAACACCGAUAGCGAAGGCAGCUCGCUGGGACGGUACUGACGCUGAGGCGCGAAAGCGUGGGGAGCGAACAGG